rnacentral:rRNA from 1 species
CCUAAACUUCAACAGUCAAAUCAACAAGACUGCUCGCCAGAACACUACGAGCAACAGCUUAAAACUCAAAGGACCUGGCGGUGCUUCAUACCCUCCUAGAGGAGCCUGUCCUAUAAUCGAUAAACCCCGUUCAACCUCACCAUCUCUUGCUCAGCCUAUAUACCGCCAUCUUCAGCAAACCCUGACAAAGGCUAUUAAGUAAGCGCAAACAUCCACGUAAAGACGUUAGGUCAAGGUGUAGCCCAUGAGAUGGGAAGAGAUGGGCUACAUUUUCUACUUCAGAAAACCACGAUAACCCCCAUGAAACUUGAGUGGUCGAAGGAGGAUUUAGCAGUAAAUUAAGAAUAGAGUGCUUAAUUGAACAAGGCCCUGAAGCGCGUACACACCGCCCGUCACCCU